UGGAUCCAGACUUUGAUCAUGGCUCAGGAUGAACGCUAGCUACAGGCUUAACACAUGCAAGUCGAGGGGAAACGACAUCGAAAGCUUGCUUUUGACGGGCGUCGACCGGCGCACGGGUGAGUAACGCGUAUCCAACCUGCCCACCACUUGGGGAUAACCUUGCGAAAGUAAGACUAAUACCCAAUGAUAUCUCUAGAAGGCAUCAGAAAGAGAUUAAAGAUUUAUCGGUGAUGGAUGGGGAUGCGUCUGAUUAGCUUGUUGGCGGGGUAACGGCCCACCAAGGCUACGAUCAGUAGGGGUUCUGAGAGGAAGGUCCCCCACAUUGGAACUGAGACACGGUCCAAACUCCUACGGGAGGCAGCAGUGAGGAAUAUUGGUCAAUGGGCGAGAGCCUGAACCAGCCAAGUAGCGUGCAGGACGACGGCCCUAUGGGUUGUAAACUGCUUUUAUAAGGGAAUAAAGUGAGUCUCGUGAGACUUUUUGCAUGUACCUUAUGAAUAAGGACCGGCUAAUUCCGUGCCAGCAGCCGCGGUAAUACGGAAGGUCCGGGCGUUAUCCGGAUUUAUUGGGUUUAAAGGGAGCGUAGGCCGGAGAUUAAGCGUGUUGUGAAAUGUAGAGGCUCAACCUCUGCACUGCAGCGCGAACUGGUCUUCUUGAGUACGCACAACGUGGGCGGAAUUCGUGGUGUAGCGGUGAAAUGCUUAGAUAUCACGAAGAACUCCGAUUGCGAAGGCAGCUCACGGGAGCGCAACUGACGCUGAAGCUCGAAAGUGCGGGUAUCGAACAGGAUUAGAUACCCUGGUAGUCCGCACGGUAAACGAUGGAUGCCCGCUGUUGGCCUGAAUAGGUCAGCGGCCAAGCGAAAGCAUUAAGCAUCCCACCUGGGGAGUACGCCGGCAACGGUGCAACUCAAAUGAAUUGACGGA
rnacentral:rRNA from 1 species